GUUAACGCUGGCAGCGUGCAUAACACAUGCAAGUCGAGCGGACUCCGCAGCGUAUCGCGGAGUUAGCGGCAGACGAGUGAGUAACACGUGAGAAAUCUUCCCUUGAGAGGCGAAUAACCAACCGAAAGGUUGGCUAAUACGCCGUACGAUUCCGGCGCGGCAUCGCGCCGGUAUGAAAGGCCCGCAAGGGUCGCUCAUGGAGGAUCUCGCGGCCUAUCAGCUAGUUGGCGGGGUAAAAGCCCACCAAGGCUAUGACGGGUAGCCGGCCUGAAAGGGUGUACGGCCACGGGGACACUGCGACACGGGUCCCACUCCUACGGGAGGCAGCAGUGGGGAAUUUUGGACAAUGGGGGAAACCCUGAUCCAGCAACGCUGCGUGAAGGACGAAGGCCUUCGGGUCGUAAACUUCUUUUGUUUCAGAGAAAAGCCCUCGCAAGGGGGUCUGAUAGUAUGAGAUGAAUAAGCCACGGCUAACUACGU
rnacentral:rRNA from 1 species